AUUUGAUGAUGUGGACAUUGUAUUUGAACUCCCCAAAUCUUUUCCAAGCUUCAAAGAAUUCUUCCGUAUGUUUUUGUCUAAAAGUUUGGAUCUUGUUUCUUAACU
rnacentral:snoRNA from 1 species